GUAUUCCAAGUAUCAUCUAGCUCCAUAAACACUGUGCGGCCGCCAGCCUUAUGCAGUUGUAAAAUGGCGGUAUUUGAAGUGAAGCUGUUGAACACGCGUAUGUCUAGUCGUAAAAGCCAACGGGAAUCCAUCUCUGGUAUAAACGGGAAGAAUUUUCAAUUUGCGUAAUAUUUAUACACAUAUAUGUAUACGAACUACCAACAGUACAUAAUAUUGUACGUCUACGCAUUCGACACCCAGCCAGUCGUUAAAUUGGAGUAAUUAUACUCGAGAUCGAGAAUAUACCCGUACAUUGUUAACGCGGCUGCAGCCUAUAAGUUUUUUUCUCCAAAAGCUUCGAUGAGAAAAACUGUUACAAAUAUCGUCACGCUACAAUAAACAAUCGCAGCAAUUCAAUUUUGAAAGUAACAGUUUUCAUGGCUAACGGGUGUGUAUUUGGUAUUCAUAUGGUACAUGGCGAGAUGGAUGGCGGUUUGAAUCAAAUUUCGAGUAGGUAAUGUCAUCCUUACGUAAUCGUAACGCUAGGCGAUGAACUACCAACGGCGAGGAUACCACAUCGAACUAGACGUUGCUGAAUGUCGAAUGUGAAGUGGAAUUUGACGCAGAAGGGUGGCAUUUGUUUAAAAUUAUGACGAUUGAACAUCAUCCAAGAUCGAAGUAGAAGGAAGAUGGCAAUUUUAUUCGAACACGAGUACUUUACGUGACGUGGACAUCCUUCAUUCAGUGUGUUUUUUUGUCCAGCAAACUUGUGUAGAAAGAAAAUCAAAAAAUCCAAAAUUUAUUGUUCGAUGGGAAAUUUCUGAAAUUGGCACGAGUGACUGUAACUUGUCUAAAAUCACCAACACCCCUCGCCCUUGAUCCGAGUUUCACCAUUUGGAGCUAUUUUGGAGCCUUCAGCGCGAUUUUCAAUUCAUCCGGAGUUUUUGGAAUUUUUCCAAAAAUUCUGAAAAUCAAUUUAGGCAGCUGAAAAUUGAGUUUUGGUGAGCGGAUUUAAAGCCAUGGAAAAUAAAAUCAAUAAAUCAAAUAUUUUCUAUACCUAUUCGAGAGAAAUGUUCAAAUUUUAUUUUUUUUGCUAUUAUGUUUUCAUUUUUUAAAACCUUACGUAUCUACUUUUUCUGCCACAAUAAAACUUUCAUGUGUUAUCGAUUUUUGUGCGAUUCUUUUAAUUUUUUAAACGAAGUCAAAGAUCGUAAUUUUAUUCCAGCUUUAAAGAUGAAGGCAAACUUCUUCAAAUGUGA